GUGAAAAUGGGAGCUCAUGAGAGAUAACCAAUGGAGAAGGGAAAGGCCAUAUCAUACCUUCCCAAGACCUACAAACAUGCAAGGAAGAAAUAAUAAGAAAGGAACAUAAGUGAAGGAAGCAUGGCCGUAUCCAUCAAUAAGAGUGAUCCAGAUGCUCAUCGGUCUUCAUUUUUGGAGCCUAUCACUACUACACUGAUGGAGCUAAGUCAAUCUGUUAAGAACCAAGGAGAUCCAUCCCUCCUAGAGAGAUGUUGAAACAUCGAUAUUGACAAAUAGGCCAAUACGAUUGGCAUAGAGGCACACCUAUCAUGGGAAGGAGAAAGACUGUUGUGCUUCAAUGCCUUUCAGGGGUCAUUAAGGUGAUCUCUAAAGUCACCAAUUAGAUCAUAGAUUCAGCACAACCAAAUAUACAGAAAUGGAUAGCUAAUAUCCGGUUAUCAGAUCUCGAGCACUAUAGGUACUUGUUCAUACUGACGAAUACAGCAUGGCAUUGGUACCUCUUAGUUUCAAGUUUAAAGGAACAAUGCUUUGACUGCUACAACUCGAUGUGGAGCUUCAAUGUAUCAGAUAAUGCCAAUAAAUAUAUGUGUAACGUUGUUCCACAUUUGUUUAUUACUUUUAUUUGU